rnacentral:rRNA from 1 species
CGCCUGCCGGCGACCGGCGCACGGGUGAGUAACACGUAUGCGACCUGCCCCCCGCAGGGGGAUAACCGGGAGAAAUCCCGACUAAUACCGCGUAACGCCGCGGACCUGCAUGGGUCUGCGGCCAAAGGAAGCGAUUCCGGCGGGGGAUGGGCAUGCGGCGCAUUAGCUAGUCGGCGGGGUAACGGCCCACCGAGGCGACGAUGCGUAGGGGUUCUGAGAGGAAGGUCCCCCACACUGGUACUGAGACACGGUCCAAACUCCUACGGAAGGCAGCAG